GCGGCGGGAAUACCCAAUCGGAAUCCUCGGUGAAAACAUUUGACUUCACACAGACCAACUCAGAAUUAACGUUAGCCAGCGGAUGAUACGGUUUUGUGAUGUGACAACCAUGCUUCUGACCUUGUUCGGCGUCUUACCUCUACUCGAAGAUUAAGCAGACAACGGCAAACGACCUCAUUUUCCGUAUCGACCGAAGAAAGAGAUAAACUCCCAAAUGGCAUAAUUCAGAUAACUUUGAACGGCCACUAAUGACGUAUCAGCCAAAUAAAAUGAUAACCCCACAACUGGCAGACCCCUGAUAAAAGAUCCGGUCAAGAUGCGUUACGCUACGCCAUGAGUAUGCCAAGGGAAUGCGAAAGAAAUAGUUCGCAUUGCACGACACUCAAAGCGAAGUGCCAAGAAGGCAAAGUGGAUAUCAAACGCACAGCCGAUUAGACAGCGUAACAAGCGAUCAUCCAUCGUCCAUAUUAAACACUUUGAGAGGUUUUGUAUAAAGGUCAUUUAGUGUUAAGAUUAAAAGUAUUUCAAUUACUAAUGAACUAAUGAGCAAGUUGAUAAUCUAAUGUACUAUAAUAUAUAUUCACGUGAAAAAGGUAUAACAAUCACGCCAAUUGAAAGUAUAUUAUUUACACUAUUUCGUUAAAAUAAAUAUAAUCAAAAACAUAAGUCACCAAUGUCUGCGCUAAAGUAAAGACAUUGUUUGAUAUUAUUCAACAUGUUUGAUAUCUUCUUAUCUCAAGUUUUCAAGUAGCUACUUCACUUAUAGAUUUUUUUAUUUGCUUUUGUAAAUAUAUAUCGAUAACGAUGAUUCACAAAAAGUGUUGCCCAUAUUCAUGUAUAAUUCAAUUUUAAAUACGUAUUUAUGAGAUGAUAUAGUUUUGAAACAUGUACGCAUGCUAACGUGUGUCAUAAGCAAAACCUGCGACGGUAGUCAUUAAGUAUUUCAUUUGUCAUACUAUAGUUUUGCUUGAUAUCUGGUAAUGAUCUUUGAAACACUGUUCAUUUAUCUCCACUUAAGACACACAAAUAUUAUCGACGAGAGUAUUCAUAUACUAUGAAACAGACGAAGGGAACCUGUAAGUCCAUAGAGGACAAAUUUAUAUCUCUUAACAUUUAUCUUAUUUUUUAAGCCAUCUACGAUGUUAUUUUCCUCGCACCUUACACCUUUACUUUUGACAUUGUUUCAUAUUCAUCUCACUUCUUGACAGCUAUUCUUUGAUAUUGAUUACAUAUGGGUUUGAUUGUAUAUGUAUCAAAACUAGUUCUUACUUAUUUCGUCGUGUCGCUAAUAUCUGGUUUGAUUCGUCCGAGUUCAUUUUAGUUCAGACAUGACUAGAAAGAUGUAAAUAUUCUUUAUGGAACAAUACAAACUUCAGUAUUCUCAACAUACGAUUAAGAAAUCUACAUAGCAUCUUGAUGAAACCAAAUAAAACAUGUCUAAAUAAUGCAUGUUGCACGAUUGGAUUGAAUCAUUUUAAAGACAGAAGCACACAUAAAAAGAAGAUAAUAUAACAUACCAUAACACAGUCGUUUAGAGACAAAUAGCACUGGCCUACUUCCCAAUGGUUUAUAAUUUUGUUAAAUAUCGCAGGAAAGUGAUCGUUGUUAAAUUGUGUGUUGCAACCAUGUUUCUUCUGGUUAAAGAAUUAACACAUAACACAAAUAUAUAAGACAUAUAAACCUACAGUAUUUCAUUCAAUAUUUGUGGUUCGCUCCCGGUUCGUUUCCUCUUUAUGGUGAUAUGUAUAUCUUAAUGAUUAGUGAGUACAGUCUUAUUCAGAACGAAUCGUAAGUGGCUCUGUAUCUGCAAAUAAGACAUGUAUCACAAUUAAAAAUAUUAUAUAUAGCAUAUUUAAAUCAAGAUCUAAGGUACACGUUGUAGGGUUCCUAGACAUUUAUCUACUUAAUAACAUGUCACAACAGUAUUCAUAAGAACAUCCUCAUUAUGUGGAGAAAUGACACUGUGCUAUCAUGGGUGUUAUUGCUACUGUAUCAUCCUAGUUCAUCCUAGUUACUAAAAGCGAUGUGUAAAUACAUCGCCUUAAACAUGUUUCUUGUUUGUAAAACUUAUCACAUGACAUAACUUACAAUACAACAUAUGUAUAAUAAAUAAUUGGUUCCGUU